ensembl:lncRNA LINC00665 long intergenic non-protein coding RNA 665
AGCCUGGCGCAAGGUUGGUCUGCAGGUGGCCUCCAGGUGCAAAGUGGGAAGUGUGAGUCCUCAGUCUUGGGCUAUUCGGCCACGUGCCUGCCGGACAUGGGACGCUGGAGGGUCAGCAGCGUGGAGUCCUGGCCUUUUGCGUCCACGGGUGGGAAAUUGGCCAUUGCCACGGCGGGAACUGGGACUCAGGCUGCCCCCCGGCCGUUUCUCAUCCGUCCACCGGACUCGUGGGCGCUCGCACUGGCGCUGAUGUAGUUUCCUGACCUCUGACCCGUAUUGUCUCCAGAUUAAAGGUACGACAUUUGGAGGCCCCAGCGAGAAACGUCACCGGGAGAAACGUCACCGGGCGAGAGCCGGGCCCGCUGUGUGCUCCCCCGGAAGGACAGCCAGCUUGUAGGGGGGAGUGCCACCUGAAAAAAAAAUUUCCAGGUCCCCAAAGGGUGACCGUCUUCCGGAGGACAGCGGAUCGACUACCAUGUGGGUGCCCACAAAAAUUCCACCUCUGAGUCCUCAACUGCUGACCCCGGGGUCAGGAACUGUUGGAAACUACUGAAACUGGCCGACCUGAUCUUCAAAAUGUGCCCCUAGGAAAGGUGGAUGCCACCGUGUUCACAGACAGUAGCAGCUUCCUCGAGAAGGGACUACGAAAGGCCGGUGCAGCUGUUACCAUGGAGACAGAUGUGUUGUGGGCUCAGGCUUUACCAGCAAACACCUCAGCACAAAAGGCUGAAUUGAUCGCCCUCACUCAGGCUCUCCGAUGGGGUAAGGAUAUUAACGUUAACACUGACAGCAGGUACGCCUUUGCUACUGUGCAUGUACGUGGAGCCAUCUACCAGGAGCGUGGGCUACUCACCUCAGCAGGUGGCUGUAAUCCACUGUAAAGGACAUCAAAAGGAAAACACGGCUGUUGCCCGUGGUAACCAGAAAGCUGAUUCAGCAGCUCAAGAUGCAGUGUGACUUUCAGUCACGCCUCUAAACUUGCUGCCCACAGUCUCCUUUCCACAGCCAGAUCUGCCUGACAAUCCCGCAUACUCAACAGAAGAAGAAAACUGGCCUCAGAACUCAGAGCCAAUAAAAAUCAGGAAGGUUGGUGGAUUCUUCCUGACUCUAGAAUCUUCAUACCCCGAACUCUUGGGAAAACUUUAAUCAGUCACCUACAGUCUACCACCCAUUUAGGAGGAGCAAAGCUACCUCAGCUCCUCCGGAGCCGUUUUAAGAUCCCCCAUCUUCAAAGCCUAACAGAUCAAGCAGCUCUCCGGUGCACAACCUGCGCCCAGGUAAAUGCCAAAAAAGGUCCUAAACCCAGCCCAGGCCACCGUCUCCAAGAAAACUCACCAGGAGAAAAGUGGGAAAUUGACUUUACAGAAGUAAAACCACACCGGGCUGGGUACAAAUACCUUCUAGUACUGGUAGACACCUUCUCUGGAUGGACUGAAGCAUUUGCUACCAAAAACGAAACUGUCAAUAUGUUCCAGAGAGAAGGACUCCCUCCUGCUUGGAAGAGACCUCACACCGUCAUCACGAUGCCAACGGCUCUGAAGGUGGAUGGCAUUCCUGCGUGGAUUCAUCACUCCCGCAUCAAAAAGGCCAACGGAGCCCAACUAGAAACAUGGGUCCCCAGGGCUGGGUCAGGCCCCUUAAAACUGCACCUAAGUUGGGUGAAGCCAUUAGAUUAAUUCUUUUUCUUAAUUUUGUAAAACAAUGCAUAGCUUCUGUCAAACUUAUGUAUCUUAAGACUCAAUAUAACCCCCUUGUUAUAACUGAGGAAUCAAUGAUUUGAUUCCCCAAAAACACAAGUGGGGAAUGUAGUGUCCAACCUGGUUUUUACUAACCCUGUUUUUAGACUCUCCCUUUCCUUUAAUCACUCAGCCUUGUUUCCACCUGAAUUGACUCUCCCUUAGCUAAGAGCGCCAGAUGGACUCCAUCUUGGCUCUUUCACUGGCAGCCGCUUCCUCAAGGACUUAACUUGUGCAAGCUGACUCCCAGCACAUCCAAGAAUGCAAUUAACUGAUAAGAUACUGUGGCAAGCUAUAUCCGCAGUUCCCAGGAAUUCGUCCAAUUGAUUACACCCAAAAGCCCCGCGUCUAUCACCUUGUAAUAAUCUUAAAGCCCCUGCACCUGGAACUAUUAACGUUCCUGUAACCAUUUAUCCUUUUAACUUUUUUGCCUACUUUAUUUCUGUAAAAUUGUUUUAACUAGACCCCCCCUCUCCUUUCUAAACCAAAGUAUAAAAGCAAAUCUAGCCCCUUCUUCAGGCCGAGAGAAUUUCGAGCGUUAGCCGUCUCUUGGCCACCAGCUAAAUAAACGGAU